rnacentral:rRNA from 1 species
CGGCCUGACAACUUAACAAAACACUUUUGAUGAUCUAGGAAUUUUGAAAGUCUAUCUUUGAACGGCUGGUAAUGCGGUCGUCUAAAAAUGGAAAAACAACUUUUGGCAACGGAUCUCUUGGUUCUCCCAUCGAUGAAGAACGCAGCGAAUUGCGAUAAGUAAUGUGAAUUGCAGAAGUGAAUCAUCGAAUCUUUGAACGCACCUUGCGCUCCCUGCAGAUCUAAUCUGGGGAGCAUGCCUGUUUGAGGGCCGCGAAUUGUUUCGAACCCACGCUUUUUUAAGUAAAGGCGUGCGGGAUCGGUAGUGAGGGUUGCCAUUCACCGUGGCUCGCUCGAAAUGCAUUAGCGCAUCCAUUGAAUUGAGGCAAAGACGGACGAAGGCUCGCCUUUCGCUCUCUCUUCCUUGCCGGGUUUUGAUACUAUCAGGGCUUCGGAGGCGGAGAGAGGGCAUGAGCUGGACGCGACGACUUUGUCGGUUGGAAGUGCUUCUGAACCCCGCCUUUGGCAUUUAUUUGCCAAAGGAAUUAAUCAAAUCGGCCUCAGAUGUAGACACCCCGUC